UCCAGCUAGUGAAAGAUGAACACAUUUCACUCAAUACUUCAAACCACUAGAACGGUGUAUGUUUGAAAGUUCAGCAGAAACCUUCUUGGGCCCAAAGUCUGAACAUGAAAGGCUGGAAAAAGCAGUAGAGAAAAAACACCAAGGAAAGGUUAGCACAAGAAAUAGAGCAGAGAGAAAAAUUCAGAUGAAAAAAAUAUAUUCACUCCAUACAGUAUUAUACCCACAAAGGAUGUUAUAUGCCAGGAGCUGGAAGCCCUCUAAGUGCCAAAAUCCAGGUCAUUCACGCAGCAGUAACUGGUUCCCCUGAACAUGGUCAUUGUGACACAGCCAGUUUUUUCCACAGGACAUCCCAGAUCAUUCUUCCCUGGUCUCCAUCCAAGCCUGAAUUUUUCUGCCUGUCUCCCACAGCCUGUCCUUGUUCUGCCUCCUUCUGUGCAGCUGCUUCCACAACGGAGUUUCCAUUUCUACUAGACAAGAAAAAACAGCAGGUUCUUCCUCAGCCUCAGAAGGUUGCACAGAACUGUUCUAAGAAUAAAGGAGUCUACUUUAAACAAGUUUUAUAAACUGCCGUGGGUGCAAUUCAUGUCAUUCCUAUUAGUCACCAACUUUCAGAUGGGCUGAUUGAACACCCUCACCUUCCUCCAGAGAUGAUGAAAGUUCAUCUCAGACAAACCAGACCCCCCAAAAAAGCAUUCUCUCAUCUCAUUCUUGGCUGAACCAUUUCAGCUGACACAGUCCCCCAAGAAACUCAGCCCAAGUCAUAUGCGUGGCACCAAAAACGCCAGUGAGGAUGGUUAGCAGUUGGCAAAGUCGUUAGCAACUAAGCCCUAGGUCUUUCAACAGGAAAUGCUGAACACGUACCAAGAGGUACUAGUCCUACCUUCACCUCAAACAGGACACAAGGAGGCAACUCUACCCUGCUUCAAUGUGCAUUUGUUCUUCAGUGUACAGCAUGGAGUCUCUCUCUUUACAGAGUAAAAUGUGGCAUGCAGACAAUUGUGUUUCUUUGUUAAAAUGAUUGUCCCUUUCGAAGAGAAAGAGGGAAGAAGGAAGG
rnacentral:lncRNA from 1 species